UACGUAGGCAGCGAGCGUUGUUCGGAAUUACUGGGCGUAAAGAGUGUGUAGGCGGUGCUCUAAGUUCGGUGUGAAAUCUCCCGGCUCAACUGGGAGGGUGCGCCGGAUACUGAGGGGCUAGAGUGCGGGAAGGGAAAGUGGAAUUCCUGGUGUAGCGGUGAAAUGCGUAGAUAUCAGGAGGAACACCGGUGGUGCAAACGGCUUUCUGGACCGUAACUGACGCUGAGACACGAAAGCGUGGGGAGCAAACAGG
rnacentral:rRNA from 1 species